UGCUGGGGUUGGUUUAUUGAUUUGUAUUUCUGUUCAACUUCCAUUGUUCUCGCUGAUGAACUGCUGUUGUUAUAUAGUGUUGCGUCAGGAGACAAGCAUUGCCCUGAUGCGGUCGUAGGUAAACAUUGGAUAAUUAACACAUUUUUGUAGGUGAUAAUGAACAUAUACAUGUGAGGAAGUUUCUGUGCUUCCAAUACUAAGCAACCAAUCAGCAUACAGGUAGUUGGUGUGGCGGAAUUGGGCCUUCAGGAAAUACUGCAUUUAUAAUUGUAUCAUAAAUAAAAGGGAGCUAUUAUAGAUGCAUUUUCAGAUACCCAUGAAGUAUGGUUAAAAAGAGAGCAAAGAAGAUGGCAAAAGUAUAGAAUGUGUUUCUUUGCAACAACUAAAACUGACAAUAUGGACUCCCUGGUUUCUUUGCAUGUUACAGUUUUGAGGAUCGGAUUUUUAUUUCACUGACAUUUUCUUUUCUCUGCCCUGUAUAAAGUCAAUUUGAGAAUAAUCAUGACUAGAGUGACAACAUGUUUAAGCCUGGUUGGAAGUACAUCUUCUGAAUGAAUCAAAGUCAGCUCGAGGCCAAGAUAAAAAAGCUUUCUCAAGAUUCUACUCUUGGCCCAAGGAUGAAAGCAUAUAUAAGCAGGGUGGCUAUCUUUGACAUCGACGGCGCCCUCCCUAGAGGCAGGAGCCUCGGUGAUGGAAGAACAAAGGGGAGUCCUCCUCGCUGCGGAACAACAAAGCUCCACCGUCCGUCUCCUAGACGAAGACCCUCAAGUACACAACUGUCGUGGCAACCAUUGGAGAAGAUGGAAUUAUUGCUGAUUUCGUCAACUUUUUGAUAGACUAAAUGUCAAGUCUUGCAACUUUGGAGUUGAAUUAUGACAAAUGUUGUAGGAAUCUAGAGUUGAUUUCUCUACCUGGCAAUGUACAAUGUAUCUUUUUAUCUAACAUAUAUAUAUGGAUGAUUUGAAAUCCUCAAGGUGAUGGUAAAAAGUGUGAUUGUUUC